rnacentral:rRNA from 1 species
GGAGCGAAAUACUACCGGCUAAUAUCCGGUGGGGCUGACGGUACCUGAGGAAUAAGCACCGGCUAACUUCGUGCCAGCAGCCGCGGUAAUACGAAGGGUGCAAGCGUUAAUCGGAAUUACUGGGCGUAAAGCGUGCGUAGGCGGUGAUUUAAGUCUGCUGUGAAAUCCCCGGGCUCAACCUGGGAAUGGCAGUGGAUACUGGAUCGCUAGAGUGUGAUAGAGGAUGGUGGAAUUCCCGGUGUAGCGGUGAAAUGCGUAGAGAUCGGGAGGAACAUCAGUGGCGAAGGCGGCCAUCUGGAUCAACACUGACGCUGAGGCACGAAAGCGUGGGGAGCAAACAGGAUUAGAUACCCUGGUAGUCCACGCCCUAAACGAUGCGAACUGGAUGUUGGUCUCAACUCGGAGAUCAGUGUC